GACGAACGCUGGCGGCGUGCUUAACACAUGCAAGUCGAACGGAAAGGCCCUGCUUUUGUGGGGUGCUCGAGUGGCGAACGGGUGAGUAACACGUGAGUAACCUGCCCUUGACUUUGGGAUAACUUCAGGAAACUGGGGCUAAUACCGGAUAGGAGCUCCUGCUGCAUGGUGGGGGUUGGAAAGUUUCGGCGGUUGGGGAUGGACUCGCGGCUUAUCAGCUUGUUGGUGGGGUAGUGGCUUACCAAGGCUUUGACGGGUAGCCGGCCUGAGAGGGUGACCGGCCACAUUGGGACUGAGAUACGGCCCAGCCCCCUACGGGGGGCAGCAGGGGGGAAUUUUGCACAAUGGGCGGAAGCCUGAUGCAGCAACCCCGCGGGCGGGAUGACGGCCUUCGGGUUGUAAACCGCUUUCGCCUUGGACGAAGCGUGAGUGACGGUAAUGGGUAAAGAAGCACCGGCUAACUACGU
rnacentral:rRNA from 1 species